UCCGUAAAUCAGAGCUGAAGGACACA
rnacentral:piRNA from 1 species